rnacentral:rRNA from 1 species
AUGCGUUGUUGGGUAGGGGAGCGUUCUGUAAGCCUGUGAAGGUGGCCUGUGAGGGUUGCUGGAGGUAUCAGAAGUGCGAAUGCUGACAUAAGUAACGAUAAAGCGGGUGAAAAGCCCGCUCGCCGGAAGACCAAGGGUUCCUGUCCAACGUUAAUCGGGGCAGGGUGAGUCGACCCCUAAGGCGAGGCCGAAAGGCGUAGUCGAUGGGAAACGGGUUAAUAUUCCCGUACUUGGUGUUACUGCGAAGGGGGGACGGAGAAGGCUAUGUUGGCCGGGCGACGGUUGUCCCGGUUUAAGCGUGUAGGUGUGUGUUCCAGGUAAAUCCGGUUCACUUUAACACUGAGGCGUGACGACGAGGCACUACGGUGCUGAAGCAACAAAUGCCCUGCUUCCAGGAAAAGCCUCUAAGCAUCAGGUAACAUCAAAUCGUACCCCAAACCGACACAGGUGGUCAGGUAGAGAAUACCAAGGCGCUUGAGAGAACUCGGGUGAAGGAACUAGGCAAAAUGGUGCCGUAACUUCGGGAGAAGGCACGCUGACACGUAGGUGAAGUGAUUUACUCAUGGAGCUGAAGUCAGUCGAAGAUACCAGCUGGCUGCAACUGUUUAUUAAAAACACAGCACUGUGCAAACACGAAAGUGGACGUAUACGGUGUGACGCCUGCCCGGUGCCGGAAGGUUAAUUGAUGGGGUCAGCGCAAGCGAAGCUCCUGAUCGAAGCCCCGGUAAACGGCGGCCGUAACUAUAACGGUCCUAAGGUAGCGAAAUUCCUUGUCGGGUAAGUUCCGACCUGCACGAAUGGCGUAAUGAUGGCCAGGCUGUCUCCACCCGAGACUCAGUGAAAUUGAACUCGCUGUGAAGAUGCAGUGUACCCGCGGCAAGACGGAAAGACCCCGUGAACCUUUACUAUAGCUUGACACUGAACAUUGAGCCUUGAUGUGUAG